AGUGAACGCUGGCGGUAGGCCUAACACAUGCAAGUCGAACGGCAGCACAGUAAGAGCUUGCUCUUACGGGUGGCGAGUGGCGGACGGGUGAGGAAUACAUCGGAAUCUACUUUUUCGUGGGGGAUAACGUAGGGAAACUUACGCUAAUACCGCAUACGACCUACGGGUGAAAGCAGGGGAUCUUCGGACCUUGCGCGAUUGAAUGAGCCGAUGUCGGAUUAGCUAGUUGGCGGGGUAAAGGCCCACCAAGGCGACGAUCCGUAGCUGGUCUGAGAGGAUGAUCAGCCACACUGGAACUGAGACACGGUCCAGACUCCUACGGGAGGCAGCAGUGGGGAAUAUUGGACAGUGGGCGCAAGCCUGAUCCAGCCAUACCGCGUGGGUGAAGAAGGCCUUCGGGUUGUAAAGCCCUUUUGUUGGGAAAGAAAAGCAGCAGGUUAAUACCCCACUGUUCUGACGGUACCCAAAGAAUAAGCACCGGCUAACUUCGUG
rnacentral:rRNA from 1 species